rnacentral:sRNA from 1 species
GCCAGGUGUGAUAGCUCAUGCCUGUAAUCCCAGAACUUUGGGAGGUUGAGAUGGGAGGAUCGCUUGAGCCCAGGAGUUUGAGACCAGCCUGGGCAACAUAGCAAGACCCCAUCUCUU